rnacentral:rRNA from 1 species
UAUGAACGCUGGCGGCGUGCCUAAUACAUGCAAGUCGAGCGAACGGACGAGAAGCUUGCUUCUCUGAUGUUAGCGGCGGACGGGUGAGUAACACGUGGAUAACCUACCUAUAAGACUGGGAUAACUUCGGGAAACCGGAGCUAAUACCGGAUGAUAUUUUGAACCGCAUGGUUCAAAAGUGAAAGACGGUCUUGCUGUCACGUAUAGAUGGAUCCGCGCUGCAUUAGCUAGUUGGUAAGGUAACGGCUUACCAAGGCAACGAUGCAUAGCCGACCUGAGAGGGUGAUCGGCCACACUGGAACUGAGACACGGUCCAGACUCCUACGGGAGGCAGCAGUAGGGAAUCUUCCGCAAUGGGCGAAAGCCUGACGGAGCAACGCCGCGUGAGUGAUGAAGGUCUUCGGAUCGUAAAACUCUGUUAUUAGGGAAGAACAUAUGUGUAAGUAACUGUGCACAUCUUGACGGUACCUAAUCAGAAAGCCACGGCUAACUACGUG